rnacentral:lncRNA from 1 species
UUUUAUAGAUCGACAUCAAGUCGAUCUCCUCUUGAAAUCAUAUUUAUGCUUCAAAUGUUUUAUGAAAACUUAUUUAUGCUUUUAUAUAUCCAAUUGCAUGCCCAUAUAUGUAUAGAUAUAUAAAUAAUGUUCAAAGGGCUUAGGAAUGCCAUCCGCCCUAUUUCCUUUUCCUCGAUUUGGAUGUGGUCUGGUGGGAUUUCGGGUGACCAUCCGAAGGUCGUUUCCAUAUUACUUAUAUAUCAUAUAUACAUGUAUAGACAUAAAAGUACUUCCAUAUUCAUACUCAUCAGUACAUCAUUAGCUGGUUACCAUCGGGGUAACGCAGGAUCAUACAUAUACAGAUAUACUAGAAACAAUACAUAUACAGAUAUACUAGAAACAAUACAUAUACAGAUAUACUAGAAACAAUACAUAUACAGAUAUACUAGAAACAAUACAUAUACAGAUAUACUAGAAACAAUACAUAUACAGAUAUACUAGAAACAAUACAUAUACAGAUAUACUAGAAACAAUACAUAUACAGAUAUACUAGAAACAAUACAUAUACAGAUAUACUAGAAACAAUACAUAUACAGAUAUACGAGAAACAAUACAUAUACAGAUAUACGAGAAACAAUACAUAUACAGAUAUACGAGAAACAAU